AAAACCUUUAAUUAAGUCCAGAGAGACUUGCAAGGCAUUUAGAUACUCGGGGUCGUAGUCUAUACUAUUGACCGUAAUUUUCUAGAACCGCGUAAGUCUGCCGACUUACGCGGUUUUUGUAU
rfam:Leuconostoc lactis strain WIKIM21 contig00021, whole genome shotgun sequence.